rnacentral:rRNA from 1 species
UACGAAGGGGGCUAGCGUUGUUCGGAAUUACUGGGCGUAAAGGGCGCGUAGGCGGCUUGACAAGUUGGGUGUGCAAGCCCAGGGCUCAACCCUGGAAUUGCACUCAAGACUGUCUUGCGUGAAUUCGGUAGAGGUUGGUGGAAUUCCCAGUGUAGAGGUGAAAGUCGUAGAGAUUGGGAAGAACACGCGUGGCGAAGGCGGCCAACUGGACCGACAUUGACGCUGAGGCGCGAAAGCGUGGGGAGCAAACAGG